rnacentral:lncRNA from 1 species
UACAUCAGAGUCACAUCAGUACAUUACAUAAUCAUCAAGAGUAAGAGCAGGGUCCGACUACGGACGAAAACAAACGACAAAAGAAGAACGACGUCCAUCCUUGCUAUCCCAGGCUGCCGGCCUGGAACCCAUCCUAGAUCGAUGAAGAAGAAGAAGGAGAAGCAACUCCAAAUGAACAAUCAACGCGCUCGCGUCAAGUAACCGUUACGUAUACCUGCAACUGGUGUUGUAGUAAUCUGUGAGCCACAGGGGACUCAGCAAUCUCAUUUCCAAAGGUAUCAAGACUAGCAAAGCUUAAUGGGUGAGGUAUGGUUAAGUGGUGAGGUUGCAGCAGCGACUAAGCAUAUAUUUGGUGGCUAACUUACGAGUACCAGAAAUAAGAGGGGGAAGAUCUACGCAUAGCGGACGUGAAUUACUGUUGAUCUAGUGAAUGAUCCUGAACACCUACCUACGUCAGACAUAACCCCACCGUGUCCUCGAUCGGAGUAAGAACUCCGAAAAAGACAGUCACGGUUACGCACGCGGUUGGCAUGUUUUAAUUAAGUUAACUUCAAGUUAUCUAGAACCAGUGUUAAACAAAGUAUC